rnacentral:other from 1 species
CUUUCCCUGCGGUGCUCGUCAGGCUCAUAAUUCUUUGAACCAAUAGGCUCUGCUUAAGUCGUAACCAUAAAUGUUGCUGUUGUGCGCAUCCCUUGCGGAUGCACCUGAUGCAACCUGGAACCGACUACCUUGAACACAGGUUCAAGAUAUUGAGCCAACGGCACAGGCGGGGACCUA